CUAAAGGAAUUGACAAAGGGAUUGUGACCUGAUGCUUCACAAUGAGAACCCUGUUGUGAUUAAAUGGUUAAGUUGAAAGUUAAUGGAAGCUGCAAAGUGUUUGCCUUCUGUAUCUGCAAUGGAAACUCCACCUGCUGUCUUCUUGGUGUUUUUGUUCCUUGUCUUUAAGACCUGGUCUCAAAUUCAGAAGUUCAAUACCAGCGUCAGUUUGACUUGACACAAUCUAUGGUUGUAGUGUAUUGAUUUCACAAAUUGAACCUAUGAAAUGAAACUGUCAUCAAGAAGCUAUUGGACACCUAUAUGGACAUGCAUUUACCUCUCUGUCCAGUGCAAUUAUUUAUAAAUGUCUGUGGAAGAAUAGAGAGAGGAGGGAGGAAAGGAAGAGUAGAUUGUUCUGUGUCUUUCAGGUAAAUAAUUUAUUUGUUUGGUUUAAAUAAACCACAUUGAGGAAUAUCAA